GCGAAGGCAUUAUGAGGCCUUGCAUCCACAGUAGGUUGCGACCGUUGGGCCUUCGUAUCUAGCCUCUUGUUCUUAUUUGCACGCUCAAACGUUUACAAAAAGGAAACUAUCGAUGGCUUGGCUACCAGCAGUUGUUUCAUUGUCCAAAAUUAUCCACAUGUUUCAAUAUCAGGAAAUAUUUUUGCAGUAUUCUCCAUGGAUGUAACUUGGACUGGGUUGAUGUAGUUGAGUCCCCUUCUCGUCUCUCUCAAAACCUAUAUGGGCCAAAUAUAAAGAUGGGCCAGGCUUGGAUCAAAAAGUGUCGCUUGGUUCAUCUGAUUCUUAAGCAAUCUUCUCAAAUUUGAUUCCAAUUUUAUUUAGUAAUUAUUAGUCUUCCAACCCAAACUUUACGGUCCCACAAGCUUACAUCGAUUUGAGCAUAAUUCUCUCUCCCCCUUCUCCC
rnacentral:lncRNA from 1 species